AUCACCGAUUUUGGUUGUGUAUUUCCUAUCACACAUCACUUGCUAAUUGUAUUUGAGUGAUGGCAAUUUCAUGCAUAUACUGAGCAAUAUAAUUCUAAUUUAGAAACUGAUCAAAGUGAUGGUAGCCUUGGUGCAAUACAGGCACGGAUAGAGGAGCUGGCUGUCCUCGUCAAAGUACGCAGCCUAAACCUUUACAAGCAAACAGAUAGCAACAAGAGGCGACAUAAGAUACGAAGAGUCAUUUAAAUGACAAAAAACGCCUGGCAGCAGCUGUUGCAGAGUACAAUCAUCUGGCUGAACCUGGACACGUGGCCUUGCCAAAGUGAAACAGACCUUCACACCAAAAGGAAGGUAUUUGAUAAGUUUAUGGCUGUGCAACGCCUGAAGGAGGAAGAAGUAAUCCUCUGUAAGGAAAUGCUGCAACACUGGACAUCACUAAAGACACAAUAC